rnacentral:lncRNA from 1 species
UAUUGUAAUGUAAAAUUUAACAUUAUCAUUAACAUUUGUCUGAUUUACAUUCUUCAGCUGAAAAUCAAAUUGUUGCCAGGGGCUUUGCAACAGAGAAUAAAGUACAGUGACAUGACUUAAUGGAAGGAUCAAUGACCCAUAUUCUCAAUAAGGUACCAAGAAUUGUUACAGGCAUGAAGUCGGGUACAGGAAUCAAGGGAACAGACAGAGGGGAGGACAGAAGGAGAAGGACUCUCCACUGAACACAGAACCCAACAUGGGCCUCACUCUCAUGACCCGGAGAUCAUGACCUGAGCUGAAAUCAAGAAUCAGAUGCUUAACCCACUGAACUCCAGGAACUCCAAUAAAUGACAUUAUAGACAAAGAAAUAACUCUGUGGGGAAGGAUGGAAGCAGGAAUGUUCAAGCAAUGCACUAUACUUGAAAUGUACAUUUUAUGUUGGGACUGAAGAGGAAAAUAAGGUUGAAAAAAUAAGAGGACCAGAUAGUAAAGGCCUGUAUUCAUUCAUGAGGGCUGUGGUAACAAAGUACCAGAGAUGAUGUGACUUAUAAAACAGAAAUGAAUUUUCUCACAUUUCUGAAGGCUAGAAGUCCAAGCACAAGGUAUUAACAGAUUUGGUUUCUUCUAAAGCCUUUUUCCUUGAUUUGCAGAUGGCCAUGUCUUCACAUGAUCUUUCCUCUGUGUGCAUCCAUUCCUGCUGACUAUUUCUUUGUUCAAGUUUUCUCUCCUUAUAAGGACACAAGUCAGGUUGCACUAGGGACCGCUCUAACAGCCUCACUAUAACUUAAUCACCUCUUUAAAGGUCCUACCUCCAAAUACACUCAUAUUCUGUAGUACGAAGUGUUAGGGACUCAACAUAUGAAUUUCAGAGGCAGCAGUUCAGUCCAUAGGAAAUUUACAUGCCAAGUUGAGAAGAAGGUUUCAAAGAGACAUUACUUAUGACCUGGGAUCUAGUUCUGACUGAGUCCCUUUCCAUUUGUCUUUCAGUGCUCUGUGAAACCUCUCUGGUCCUACAGGUAAUGGAGUUGAACUAGAAAAUCUCCAAGGUUUUCCUAACUAAAAUUCUAUAUUUUGGGGAAAUUCCUAAAAAUAUGAAAAUAGGUCAUAUACCCAUAAGUUAAUCAACAUCAUGAGUCAGCUUAUUUACAGUCAAUUAGACCAAGCAUAACCUCUAAAGCAGCACUUCCUAAACUCUUUUGAGAAUACUAAGAAGUAUCACUCAAAAGGUAUUCUGAGGUCAUAAAAAUCCAGAAAAUUUGCAAAAUUAUUUUGAUGGGAGGAUUUUGAGCUUUUAGGUAAACCAAGACAUUUUUUUGGAAGCUACAAAACCCCGGGGCAGGUGCAUUCUCCUUUUUUCCUAAUGGGACAUUAAUAUCUUUCACGCUUACCUCUCAAUUUGUACAACAUUUAUAAGGAAUAAAAUCAAAGUUGUUAUAUUGAAAUAGUUAAGUGUGUUAUCUGCAGCCUUGUUGUUUGUAUUCUUUUAUAAAAAUAAUUUUUCAGAGAACAUUUUAAACAAUUUGAGGAGUGGUCACUAAAAUACAUUUUAAAAAAUAUUUCAGAU